UACUGCAGACGCACCAUGGUGUCGAAGUGGGAUGUUGGCUGAAAUGCAGGCGUUGUGUGGAGCUGUGAGUGCCAGCAGGGCACGGCACGUGGGAACGUGUUCAGGCCUGCACCAAUGAAAAGAAACAGGAAAGGCUGUGAGUCACAGGCAUCCCACUGCCUCUGCUGUGCUGAUUCCUGGGGAAGUAGGAGGAGAAGAAGGGCUCCAGCAGGUGAUCAUUCAGUGUUUCAGGCUGUGACUCAACAGUUCCCAUUCAGGACUUUAUCCAAACACUGAACAACUGUGCUGUGCCAUUGGAGUAGCAUGAGAAGUUCUACGCAUCGAGAGGUGACUGCAUCAACUGCAGCAGGGCGCAGCUUUCAGCCUUGACUCCUUAAAGUCAGAGGGAUUCAGCCACAAAGUCCAUUAGAGCAUCAGAUGCAGUGAGGUCAAAUCAAUUGUCCAUACUGCAGACAAGGAUGGGCAAUAAUAAUUGACUGAAGCAAUCACUGCUGUGGGAAAACAAACGUCCUGGCAGUGUCGCAUCUGAAGGUCAGGUCUGAUGACACAGUAAGUACCUGAACUCUCACUGACUCCCAGGGAGGAGGCUGCUGAGCGCCUCCUGGAGCUCGCCUGGCAGGGACAGAUUUACACAGCCACAGGGGCGGGGGGUGAGGAUGCUUUUUUUGCUCCCACCUCCUUCUGUUGGGUCUGCAAAGUCAUUUAUUUCCAUUACAGCGCCAUGUUCUCUCUGGCUCCUCUGCUCGACACGUCAGCUGCAUGAAACCAGAGAGAAAAGGCACUUCUGUGCUGCCAGGGACUGUGCAUCCCUUCUCCUUCAAACAGUUGUGCUGGCCCUGAUUUACCUCAUGCAAGCUGGUGGGUGCACUGUUUGCAUGAAGGGGAGCUGUGUCCACCCCGCACACGUGUGAAAGCUGUGGCACCAUGGCCCAGAUCUUGUCGGACACUGUUGAAACAGGAAGCAGUAAACCCAGCUUUAUUCACUUGACUUGCUUAUUUGCCUUUUCUAGGUUAAUCUUUUCUCUUUCCCUGGAUUUCUUUAAUCCUGGGAUGUUUUCAUUGAGAAAGUGAUUGAAUGAAGAGGCAUUUAGAUUUUCUGUAUUAUGGAAAUAUUGUCACAGCUGUCAGGAUCAGUCUUGUAGUCCUUCUGCUUCAGAAGCUAAGUUCUAAGCAAACAUACACAUCCAUUUAAAGUAGAGGCAAAGGAAUAAGGAGCCUAAAAUAGUCCCUGCAAUACAAGUGUGUAUUUCUGAGGCUGCCACAUAUUCUGACAUAUGCUUAUGGAAACCAUCUUGGGAGACUGCUUUUCCUCUUCUGUUUCCUCUUUUCAUGACUUACCUUAAUACAGACUCUCUGGGCUCCUUUUCCUCAGUCUGUGUUGCCCAUCACUUCUGAAUUCACCAUUCUGAAUGGUUAUUCACAGGUCUUACAAAACAGCUCAGAUUGGCAUCGUGCACUGCACAUAACAGAAAGCCUUUGGAUCAGGAAAAAUACUUAUUGAAAUCAGUAAGAGGAAAAGAGCUUCAAGUCCAGCAGUUAACACUUCAUUCUGGCCUUUUUCUCAGUAGAUAAAAACAUUGGCUUGGUGAUGCCUACUCCUUUUCUUUUUAAGAUCAAUGCGACAAACUGAAGUUGUCCACUGAAUUUGUUUGCUGUGUUAGCACUGCAGUUCACAUUAGACUUUUAAAAAAUGACUAUUUGAUUUUACAAUAAUUCCAGCCUGUGCAGCAAGUGAAUGUAUUUUUAAGGAAAUCUGUUUAAGCAGGAAAAUCACUAAGGAAUUCCUCAGGAGUUAUAUAUAGCUCUUAGUUGACAGACUCCCUUAAAUAACUCCUUUUUCUAUGUCUACAGUAAUUAAAACAAAAGUUGUCCUUUGAGUAUUUGCUGUUGGCAAGAUGUAUUUCGUUUAAUUUUCUCCAAAUGCUCAAAAGCUUUCUACAUUUAUGGGGAAGUAGUUUGGUCUUGUGAACAUGAGAGAGAUUCAUAUUAUUUGAAUUGGCCAUAAGGUAAUAUAUUCCAGCAUACAUCUCUGAUUCUCCUGGUCACUUUGAGGGAGUGCAGAAAUUGCCUGCUCAUUGCAUCAGUAGUCACUGUCCUGGAAACUGAGUUAAUGGCAUGACAGCUGUAGCACUGCAAACAACAUCAGUGUGGGGCUUUGGGGAUAAAAUUCCCCUCUUAAGUAACUAAAGCAGGCAGUCCCGAUUACAGAAAAUGGUGACAUUAAACAGAGCUGCUCCGAAUGUGUGCAUGAAACAAGUAGAAAAGUGCAUUUGUGAGCAAGUCUUAGCCUGGGUGUAGCUUGCAUUGUGUUGAAGCACAACUAAUUCAUGUUAAAGAUGAAAUGCAAAAGCUCUCCUAGGAGGCUGUCAGGGGGCAUUGUCAUUUUUGAAAAGUAAUAUACUCUUAAAUGCUGCAAUACAUUUUAAAGAAUGACAUUGUACAUCUACAUGAAAAUGGUCUGUGCUGUGCUACAGGCCACCAGAGAAGGCUUGAAUGUGAAAAAGGGUGGUAUUGUUUGUGACCAGGUGAGUAACUAUCAGCUUAGAAGGAAUGUACAAACACAAACUAAAUGCUUCACUAAAUAUUUUGGUAUUUGCUUUUGGUUUGAUUUUUGGGCUGAAAUUUACUCAUAGUUGAAUUUUACUAUUAUUUGAAUGUUCCUGAAGGGCUGAGGGAAAGCAUGUCAACCAGUGACUGAUGGAUCCUGCUUUAUAUGCAUCCAUCUAUAUACCUUGCUUAUGAGUUUGUUCACUUCCUCAGAUGAUGGUUAAAAGAUGAGUGCGUAUUUGACCAACACGGUGAGAAAAUGCAAUGAAAUGAAACAUUAACUGGAAGUUCUUCCAUUUUGCUCCAUGUCCUUUUGAAACCAAUGUGCCAGAUUAACUGAAAGACAGAAAAGUAGUAGAAACAUUUCUGUGCAUUAGAAGAAAAAAAAAAUGUAUUUAAUUUUGCCUUCCUUGUGCUCAGUUCCAGCUGUGAAUUUAGAAGUAAUAUACUCUGAUUCUGAAUGGAAAGCCUUGACAGAAACUGGCUUUAAACAAAAGCAAACUGAUUUAUUUUCUUUAGUAAAGUUGAGAAAAAUGUAAGCUGUAUGACAGGGAAAGGUUAUAUAGGAGUUAUAUAGUUAUACAGGAACCUGUUAGCAAUGUAUUUUUUCCUAUGGCUAUUUGCUCAUCACUGAUCUUGACCAUAUCUCCUAUGAACUCAUUAACAACUCUUAGUAUGAAAAAGCACCUCUUAAAUAAUUUACUAUAAACCGGAAGUAAUAUUGAGCAUUUGUAAAUAUGACCUUCCUUUGCUGGUUUGUUUCUCUUUUCAUUUUUUCUUCCUGGAUCUGUCCUGUUCUGUUUGAAUAUCCAUGAAAGGAGCCAAAGAAAUGGGAACUCACCUGCGUGGUGAUAUCAGUCAUCUUACUCACAGAUAUUCUACAGCUUGUCCUGUUUUCCACUUCCUCUUACCUGAUCCUUUCAUAACUCAGCUUCUCUAGUGGGAGCCAAUGGGUCUUUCCAAUGUAAUUUAUACAGCAGUUGAUGAUUUAAAUGGCAAAAAUCCAAAAUGCUUUUUGAAAAUGUAAGUAAGUCUUUCUGGAUCUCAUUAACAAAAGUUCUUGAUUGAUUACAGCAGGAAUUUUUUAUUUUCUUUUUCCAUACAUUUUAUUCAUGAGAUUCAGCUGUUGCUUUCCAAAAAUACUGUGGAACUGUUUUUUUGUUUUGUUUUGUAUUUUUUUGUUUUUCCCAUUGUCUUUUUGUCCACUGGACUCAGCCUAAACCUUCUUAGUGGUCAUAUAUAGGAUGAUGCCAGUUGUGAGAUCUCAUGACCACCAACCACACAGACAAUAAUAUAAACACUGCAGCAGGAGUUUUGCAGUACAGCAGACUUGUUUUCAUCCUGAGAUCGAGAUGCUUCUAAGCAUGCAUUUAAAAAACAAAAAGGGAGGUUAGAAUGCGGAGUUGUACAUUAGGGCCAAACAUUUGCUCAUGAAUAACAGCUUAGCUACUUUACUGUUCGAUUCUGAAUGUAUGAAAAUCAAAACAUGUCAACUUUACCUUGUCCAACCUGUGAGAAAAUAGUGGAACCAGCUUGGCUCCAUUUGCGAAUAGCUGACGCUCUCUGAUGGUAAAGAAACAACUUAUGUGUUAAUUUGUGGGUAAAGUUAUUCUGAUGGAGAUUAUAACAGUGUGAAUUAGUGGAGUCAUAACUUAAGGAGCUAUUAGGUCUUGCUGACCUUCUUCCUGCAUAAAUUUUGACCCUUACUACUACUAAAUUGAAUUUUCUAAGUAAGAACUGACUUGUACUGGUGUUAAGUACUGGACAAGUUUAUUUUAUUACAGUUCUGUAAAACCCCACUGGUAUCUACUCCUUUAUUUUGGAUUUGGAAUUAUAAUGUCAGGAAAGUAUGGGGUAAAGCAAUGGGUGGUGGUGGAUCCAGUUGCAUGCUCUGCUCUGUUUAGUUCCUUUUUGCCAACAGGAUGUGAAUUAUGCAGGUGGGCCUGAAAAGCCUCCUGUUGAUCUCUCAAGACAUCACUCGCUACCAGAUGCAAUCAGCAUACCUGGCACCUGUUUUGGAAGGAACAGGUUUUAACCCAUCUGUACAGCUUUAGGAUUAAUAGACGUUAUCCAAGACAAGUAUAAAAGAAGCAGCACCUCAUUCAGCACAUUGACUGCAAUUUCCAGUGUAUUUAUUCCAUUUUCUGCUGGGAUCACGGAUGGAGCAAAGAUUAGAAAACAAUAUGGCAGGAACUCUUGAUGCUAAACAUUCAAGGUACAGGACUCUGCACUCACCUUUGUUGAACCUCAUCAGAUUCCCCUCUGCUCAGCUCUGCAGCCUGCCCAGGUCUCACUGAACGACAGCACACUUCUGGUGUGCCAGCCACUCCUCCCAGGUUUGUAUCAUCACAGAACUUGCUGAGGAUGCUGCCCAUCCAUUUGUCCAGUUUACUGAUGAAGAUGUUCAACAAGACUGGACCCAGUAUUGAUCCCAAGGGAACACCAGCUAGACUGUGCUGCUGAUCAUAACCCUCCCUCUGUGCCGUGCCAUCAGCCAGUUCUUUGAUAUGAAUUUUGAACAGUACAUACACAUACACAACCAAGAAAGUUCAAUGAGUCAACUCUGAAAGUGGAGCAUUUCAAAUUGCAUCCAGAAAAACUGAGAAUAUUUUUACAUAUUAAUUAGUUUCUAAUCAGUACGUUGCAGUAAUUCAGCAUUCGGCAUUCAGCAGAAGCUCCACAUUUGAGGGUUCAACUUGAUUGGCCGCAGCCUUCAGCAGUCUGACGUAGCGAGACCAGCUUCAAGCAGGGCAUGGAUUGUGGUGACAUCGAUUAAAUUAAAAGGUAUGAAAUUCAACUUCACUUCUUAUUGAUAUAAAGGCUGGAAUUUUGUAUUCACUAUUUGCAAUUGUUUGUAGGUAAUAUUUUCAUAAUAAUUAUAUGCAAAAGCAUUUAUUAUUAUUUAUUUACUAAUCCAUAUGUGGUCAUACUAAAGCGUACUGGAUGCCUGCAGUAUAAAACUCCAUUAUCCAAGGAAAGAUGUUUAUUUAAAACUCUAAAAUGGUGGUUUGAAACACACACCAAUAUCUUUAAUUCUUCUGUGCUGGAAAUGUAAAAUGACAAUUGCUAAUGAGAAAAACUUCCCUGCAAAGCUGUAAUAGAAACUGUAAGAAGGCUUGCUAAGAGAUAGACCACGUUUAGGAAAGCCAAAUCUAGUUGAUCUCACCUUCUCAAUUCCAAAUAUCCUUUGUGGUAACUACGUUUCAUUUAGAAAAAUAAAUGCAAAGGAAGUACAGACAUGGCAGGUAGUUUGGCAUCAGCCACUUCUAUAUUUCUCAAUGUGUAGAAGCCAGGAAAAUGUUCCAGAACUUAAUUCCUUUCAGAUAGGUGAGCUCAUGUAAACAUUGCUCUUGAUGAAGGCUACAGAUAAAAUAUCUGGAUGUUGUUCCAAAUAAAGCAUUAAAUGUCUCCUGCAAUAGAAUCCAUCGUGCUCUCUUACUUUCUCCCUUGUACAAAAUAAUUACAAUCUAUGAAAUCACACUGUAGAAAUCUAAAUAUGCUUUCCAUAAAGUAGUAAGAAACCUCUGCCCAGAAAAGCCCAAGUUGUUCUCUGCCUACCAUGGUAGCUCCGUCAUUUCCAUUUUUCGGCUGCCUUUCAGGUAGCCCCACAAAGACACUGAAAAGAUAGGAGUUGAAGAAUUGUCAUUUUCUUGUUACCAGAGGUGCAAGGAAGCUGCAGACACAGAACAGCAGCGUGAGAGCUCUACCGGUGGCUUUUUAUUCCUCUGCUGAUCUCUAGGAAAAGUCAGAGUUUAGCAUUUCAGGUUUAAACUCAAAUUUGUGCAUGUACAACCACCACAAAAAGUAGAUUACAGACAGCUCUGCAAAAGGCAGCACCAUUUGAGACAAUCUUUGAUGUCUGCUUUGAGUAACCCAAACGCCUUGGAUACAUACAGCCUUACUGAACUGCUGUAUGAGCGUAAUGUACUUAGGAAUUAAUCUCAGUGCACUUUCUUUGAACCACCUAUGAAAGCUCUACAUCCAGAAUAAUAUUCACUAUUGCCUUCUACAGAGUUUUUGCUGGAACGUGUCCUGUUCUGCUUCCUUCCCAUCAUCAUCACAUCAUCUCCCCUCCAACCAAAGCCUUUUAUAGUUUUGGAAACUGGCUGAGAUUGACCCAGUAAUGUGCACCCAAAAGAAAGUGAUUUCCUGCCUUAAAUAAGUGUUGCAUUCAGAGGAAUUUAAUGUCACUGUCAUCCUCGUAGCUGGCAGGACGAGUCACCAGUUUGCUGACCGAGGCUGCGAGGGAGGCACACGCUGCGCUAAGGGGCGCUACCAAGGGCGAUGAUUUCAUGUGGCAGCACCCAACACUGGCUGUUUGCGUUGGCCAUUGCCCAUUUCAGCAGUGAUAUGGACUUGGCAAUUUCAGGAACGCUCAUGAAAUUAUUACCUUGAAUCGUCUUCAAAGAGCUGCCCUGAUUUAUGAUUGUCUUAGAGCACAUAAACACAUUUAAGCACAUUUACCCAUUCCAAGGGAUACCCAAUACACGAGGGAGUUUUCCCUUCCUUCCUAGGGCUGUAAAAACAAAACCAGGAUGUUUCUUGCCAAACUUGCUCACAGUUUGCAUGGAUUUGGUUGGACAGAUGUGCUGGAAAACUACAUGCAGUCUUUUGAGUCCCAGCCCGUGCACCUCCUUACAUCUCAGCAGUGCUCCCAUCAGCUUCCAACACAGAUCUCUAGCAGAACUCUGAUUUUGUUUGGAUUUCACGUUAAGAAAAACAGGUUGUAAGAAACUGGUUGUCAUUUUGGAUCUGUAAAACACACCCAGUUUAAUUCACUGGACUCAGUAACUAAGGACUUCUGCUCUGCUUUUCUCGCCGACUCUCUUAUAGGGUUUCCUAUUACCUGCACAGAACUCUCUUUCUCAGCACAGCUGCCUCCACCGGCCGUGCACUUUCACCAGCGAUGCCCACACGCUGCAGCUCACUGCGCUCACGCCCACUCUUUGGUCUCCACCGACGUUCACCAACAGCUGAAGAAUGUCAGUGGGUGCCGUUGCUUCCACACAGAAGAACAGGAUUUGCAGCUCCCCGGGACACACAGACCCCGGGCUGUGAAGGGAUUCCCCCCCGCCCGCAUCAAGAUCUGCCCGGCAGCGCAGCUCCCCGUUAUUGCCCCCCCGGCUUUGGCCGCCCUGCAGGCUCUCCGUGCGCCCAGCAGAGGGCGCUGCCGCCCGCUCCCACAGCGAGGAGUUUCCUCCCCUUUGUCAGAGCGCCGGCCAAAAGAAACAUUUCACCCGUGUUGGUUUUUUAAACUUAAACUUGAAAGCUGAGACCGCUUUCAUAUAAGGAGCCCGUUUAAUGUAGAAAUCACAUGGCAUGAGAGCUAACGCAUGGAAACAGACCAAGAGAGGGAGGGAAGGAAUCGGUGCUGGAUAAUUGCUGCUAUCGCUAUCUGAUUGUGCAAAGCAGCCGCUGCAAAAGGCCGUUCCCUUGGCUUUAGGUAGGAAUUCACCCUGCCCGACAGACUGCAGGGACAUCGGCUGCUUCAGGUGUCCUCCUACAGCAAAUAAUUGCACUCAAGGUAAUUUCCACACACCCACAGAGAAGCUGAGUUAGUCAGUUGAAGCAAGAAGGACCGGAGGUAAGUUAAGCCCUGCUCCCAGUGUCUGCCCAAAGCUGUGUCUAAAUGAGGGAAGCACAACAAGCCAGUCCCCUGAGGUUCCCACCUUAGAGCAGGAAGUCUGCAGGGUGGCAGAAACAUCACCUCAGCCCUGGAAGCCACGUGCUGCAGCAAGGCACGGUGUCUCCUGUGAUUCUUUAACACACAUGGGCACCCAUUUGCUGCUGUUGUGUAUAAGAGCAGCACCUCCAGCUGCCAGGAAUCCAGCUCUGCUGCGUGGAAGAAAGCACUGCGAGGCACCUUCCCAAAAGGUUCCUCUGUGGCUCAUUUGUGAAGGGCUGUGACUAUUCAUGCUGACUUCUGAGCUCAGAAAAAGCGAAGAAGGAAAAAAUAAGAGGAAAUACAUCAGUGGUGCUAUUUUCUUUCUCCAUCAAACAGAGGCCUCCCUCCCACCUCUAUGCAUUAGUUUGCUUCCCUUCCCUGUGGUAUCAAGAAAAAAAAAAGAGCCAUAAAGUUAGCAAUAGAAGCUGUACUAAAGGGAAAGCAAUCAGGGAUUUGUAGAGGACAGGUACGCAUCCAAAAGUUACCUGUUAACAAGGCUGGAUGCUGGGAGAAUCCUGGGAAAUCCAGAAGAAGGGAGCUGUUGCUCAUGGGAUGGCUGCAGAGAUCUGAGUAUUCCAUCAUCCAUGGACUCUCUUCUGCCCAAGCUGUUGGAUCUGAAACUUGUCUGCAAACAGGUUCCUUUAUAAGGCUUUCAAAGGCUCCUCCUCUUCAGGUGGGUGUCCAUAUGAGGGCAUUUUGAGGGGCACCCAGGUGGUCAGGUUAAAGAUACAGACAGGGGAGUGGGACCUGCCAUAGCAAUCUAAUGUCAUCUAUCAGCUGCCUUUUAAGAGGUAUCAGACACCUAAUCUGCAUUGUACAAAGCAGCUACAAAAAUGGACCAGCGAUGCUAAAUAACAGCUCAACAAGCCAUCAGUACAUUUAGCACAGACUUUUGUUAGAUUUAUUCCAAGACAAAAGGGUUCUUUGGUCAUCUCUGUUGGCAGUACAGAACAGAAAAUGCCAUUUUGCAUGAGUUAAAAACAAGUAGACCCUUUUGACUGAUGGAAAUUGCUUGCUUUAAGCAAGUGACACAAGAUACACAUAAUAGGAAUAAACAGAGUAUUUAUUUAAUCAAAAGUAAAAAAAAAAAAAGUCUUUGACUUCACAUCCUUAAAUAGCAUUAAGACAAACUGUCUGGUGGCUAAUGAACAAAAAGAAUACACGUGCCUUGUGUUUGAACCCCUACUGAAACUCUGGAUCAGUCAUACUGCCUGGG